UAAUACAUGCAAGUCGAACGGUCUUUCUAUGGAAGCUUGCUUCCACUGAGAAGAUAGUGGCGAACGGGUGAGUAACACGUGGGUAACCUGCCCAUAAGAGGGGGGAUAACAUCCGGAAACGGGGUGCUAAUACCGCAUAGUUUUCUUGAUCGCAUGAUUGAGAAAGGAAAGACGGCCUUUGUGCUGUCGCUUAUGGAUGGACCCGCGGCGUAUUAGUUAGUUGGUGAGGUAACGGCUCACCAAGACGAUGAUACGUAGCCGACCUGAGAGGGUGAUCGGCCACAUUGGGACUGAGACACGGCCCAAACUCCUACGGGAGGCAGCAGUAGGGAAUCUUCCGCAAUGGACGAAAGUCUGACGGAGCAACGCCGCGUGAGUAGAAGUAAGGUUUUCGGAACCGUAAAACUCUGUUGUCAGAGAAGAACAAGUUGGAGAGUAACUGCUCCAGCCUUGACGGUAUCUGACCAGAAAGCCACGGCUAACUACGUGCCAGCCGCGGC
rnacentral:rRNA from 1 species